AAUAAAAAGAGUUUGAUCCUGGCUCCGAAUGAAUGCUUUUGGUUAAUUUUACACAUGCAAGUUAUCAUAUAUAUAUAUAGCGUACGGGUGAGUAAAAUAUAAAAAUAACUUCUUUUGAAAAAGUUUAUAAAAGAUUAAGUAUUAAUUGUAUUAAAAUAGCAAAUUAGCUUAUAAUCUUUAGUUGAUCUUUGAGGAUGAUCAACCACAUUGGAAUUGAAAAAUGGUCCAGACUACAUUUAGGCAGCAGUGAAGAAUAUUGGACAAUGAGUGAAAGCUUGAUCCAGUUAAACCAAUUAUGUGAUGAAGAUUUUUUAUUGUAAAACAUUAAAUAUAAAAUGAUUUAUGCUAUUUUAUAUUUUAGUCCUGGCUAAUUUCGUGCCAGCAGCCGCGGUAAAACGAGAAGGGCAAGUGUUAUUCAAAUUUAUUGGGCGUAAAGAAUUAUUCGGUUGUAGAUUAUUGUAUAUUUUUUUUAGUUAAAUAAAUAGUUUCUUUUCUAAAUAACUAUUAAAUAAAUUUACUUGAGUUUAAAUAAAAAGAUUUCAGAAUUUUAGGUGUAACAGUAAAAUGUGAUGAUAUUUAAAAGAAUUUCGAAGGUGAAUACAGAAAUCUAUUUUAAAACUGACACUUUUUAAUUAAAGUAUAGGGAGCAAAAGGGAUUAGAUACCCCUGUAGUCUAUACCCUGAACUAUGAAUGUUGUUUUUUUAAAAAACAAUUAAAAUUAACGUAAAACAUUUCGCCUGGGUAUUACGAUCGCAAGUUUAAAACUCAAAGGAAUUGACGGGAAUUCAAACAAGCAGUGGAGCAUGUGGUUUAAAUUGACAAUACGCGUGAAACCUUACCAAUUUUUGUUAUCAGGUGUUGCAUGGCUGUCGUCAGUCCGUGCUUUGAAGUGUUUGGUUUAUUCCAAUAAACGGACGAAACUUUUUUGUGUUAAAAUAAUUUUACAUAAUUAAAUAAAGAUAUUUUAUUAAAAUGAAAACGAUGACAAGUCCUCAUGACCCUUAUAAAUUGGUCUACUUUCAUGUGCUACAAUAUUCUUUCCAAAUAAAAAUAAAAAAAGAAAUUUUUUAGAUAAAAUUAAAAAAGAAUAAUUAUGAAUUAUUUUCUGAAACUUGAAAAUAUAAAACUGAAAUUGCUAGUAAUCGUUUAUUAGAAUGUUACGGUGAAUUUGUUCUUGAAUUUUGUACACACCGCCNCGUCACGCUAUGGAAAUCAAAUUUACUUGAAGAAUUUAUUAAUUUUAGAGUGAAGCGAAGACUAGAGUGAAGUCGUAACAAGGUAGUUGUAGGGGAACCUGUGGCUGGAAUAAAAAAAAU
rnacentral:rRNA from 1 species